GGAGAGUUUGAUCCUGGCUCAGAGCGAACGCUGGCGGCGUGCCUAACACAUGCAAGUCGAGCGAGAAAGCCGGAAUUUAUUCUGGCUGGAAAGCGGCGAACGGGUGAGUAACGCGUAGGUAACCUGCCCUUUAGUUCGGGAUAACAUUUCCAACGAGGUGCUAAUACCGGAUACGGCCCUUUUAUCUUCGGAUUUUUGGGUUAAAGAUGGCCUCUUUACAAUGCUAUUGCUAAAGGAUGGGCCUGCGUCCUAUCAGCUUGUUGGUGAGGUAACGGCUCACCAAGGCUAAGACGGGUAGCUGGUCUGAGAGGAUGAUCAGCCACACGGGGACUGAGACACGGCCCCGACUCCUACGGGAGGCAGCAGUGAGGAAUAUUGCCCAAUGGGGGAAACCCUGAGGCAGCGACGCCGCGUGGAGGACGAAAUCCUUCGGGAUGUAAACUCCUUUUAUUUGGGAAGAACCCUUGAGAGAAUAAUACGCUCUCAAACUGACGGUACCUUAUGAAUAAGCCCCGGCCAACUACGUGCCAGCAGCCGCGGUAAAACGUAGGGGGCAAGCGUUGCUCGGAAUCACUGGGUCUAAAGGAUGCGCAGGCGGACCGACAAGUCGGGUGUGAAAGCUCCGGGCUUAACUUGGAAAUUGCGCUCGAUACUGUCGGUCUCGAGUAGAGCAGAGGAAAACGGAAUUCCCGGUGUAACGGUGGAAUGUGUAGAUAUCGGGAGGAACGCCAAUAGCGCAGGCAGUUUUCUGGGCUCUUACUGACGCUCAGGCAUGAAAGCGUGGGGAGCAAACAGGAUUAGAUAUCCUGGUAGUCCACGCCGUAAACGAUGGGUGCUAGUUGUUGGGGGAGGUUUCCCUCAGUGACGUAGUUAACGCGUUAAGCACCCCACCUGGGGAGUACGGCCGCAAGGUUGAAACUCAAAGGAAUUGACGGGGGCCCGCACAAGCGGUG
rnacentral:rRNA from 1 species